ACCUUCAGUGCCAAAAAAUAAAACAAUAAAAAUAGUUAUCUUUAAACUUGUUGAGACGAUGACGGUCCUGCAACUGUUUAAUUUUAUACAAAUUUAAAUAUUAUUUGUGCAGAUUCAAAGUUGGAGAACAUUAGAUGUCAGCUCAGGCCGAGUGUUCAUAUGUUUAUGCAUUAUGUCUAAAUAGAAUGACAAUUUUACUAUAUAUUCAUUUUUUGAUAUAAUAAAUUUGUUAUUUUUUUAAGAAAUGACUAUAAUAAAUAAUAAGGAUAAAUUAGAAACUAAGCGGACGAAAUGAAUAUCAUCAUGAACCUUAGUGUGACCAAAAGUUGGUUCCCAUUGAAAAUGGAAAUUAAAUGCAAAAAGCCAUGCAACAAUUAAAUACACCAUGAAUAAAUAGUCACCAAAUUAGUUGGGACUUUCCAUCUGUAGCAGUGUACAUAUAUACUACACCUCUCCCAAUCAUACCCUCACAAUAUUAAAGAAGAAGAAAAAAAAGAGAUAGAGAAAACUAAAAAAUAUUCCAAGUGUCAAUGGAGAGAAUUACUAGCAUUUUUGUUAGUUUUUUGAUAGUGUUGUUUGUAGUUGGAAAUGAAAUGUAUAUUGUUAAUGGAGAUAGUCCAUAUGCUUGUUGGGGUGGGUGUUACAAUAAAUGUAUAUUAUUAACUAUGAAAUCAAGAGUACCUUCAGGAAAUGAUCCUUGUUAUGUCAAGUGUCUAAGCAAGUGUAUUCCUACUUCUUCUUCUGAAUACAAGAAUUAUUGCACCAUUGGAUGCUCCUUGGAGCUAUGUGUUGCUUUUCGCUUCGAUGCUGGUGAAGAUCUGGAUGCAUGCUAUGGCAAUUGUGGAAGAAUUUGUAGGGUUUAAACUUUAGAAAUAUUUAUUUCCACAACUCUCUUUAAUUUUAUAUUUAAAUUUUAAGUACUUUUUUACUUAACAAAUAAAUAAAUUGUUCUUUGUUGUUUUGUUUUCCAUUCGGUGUGUAAUGUAACUGAAAAAUUUAAUAGCUGUAUUUUGUUUCUUCCCUUGUGUACUUUGUUAUAAAAGAAUUAGUGAAAUAAAUACAAUUACAAACUUGGUUGA